ACGGAAGGCAGCAGUGGGGAAUAUUGGGCAAUGGGGGAAACCCUGACCCAGCAACGCCGCGUGGAGGAAGAAGGUUUUCGGAUCGUAAACUCCUGUCCUUGGUGAAGAGCAGAAGACGGUAGCCAAGGAGGAAGCCCCGGCUAACUACGUGCCAGCAGCCGCGGUAAUACGUAGGGGGCAAGCGUUGUCCGGAAUGAUUGGGCGUAAAGGGCGCGUAGGCGGCCCGGUAAGUCUGAAGUGAAAGUCCUGGCUUUAAGUUGGGAAUUGCUUUGGAUACUGUCGGGCUUGAGUGCAGGAGAGGUUAGUGGAAUUCCCAGUGUAGCGGUGAAAUGCGUAGAUAUUAGGAAGAACACCAGUGGCGAAGGCGGUUAGCUGGACAAUAACUGACGCUGAGGCGCGAAAGCGUGGGUAGCAAACAGGAUUAGAUACCCUGGUA
rnacentral:rRNA from 1 species